rnacentral:rRNA from 1 species
UACAGAGGUCUCAAGCGUUGUUCGGAUUCAUUGGGCGUAAAGGGUGCGUAGGUGGCGUGGUAAGUCGGGUGUGAAAUUUCGGAGCUUAACUCCGAAACUGCAUUCGAUACUGCUGUGCUUGAGGACUGGAGAGGAGACUGGAAUUUACGGUGCAGCAGUGAAAUGCGUAGAGAUCGUAAGGAAGACCAGUGGCGAAGGCGGGUCUCUGGACAGUUCCUGACACUGAGGCACGAAGGCCAGGGGAGCAAACGGG